UCGAGAAUCUUGCACAAUGCACGAAAGUGUGAUGCAGCGACGCCGCGUGGAGGAUGAAGGCCCUUGGGUCGUAAACUCCUUUUACUGGGGAAGAAUAAAUGACGGUACCCAGUGAAUAAGCCACGGCUAACUACGUGCCAGCAGCCGCGGUAAUACGUAGGUGGCAAGCGUUGUCCGGAUUUACUGGGUGUAAAGGGUGCGCAGGCGGAUCUUUAAGUAGAAAGUGAAAGGUUGGAGCUCAACUCCGACACUGCUUCCUAUACUGGGGGUCUUGAGUCUUGGAGGGGGAAGCGGAACGACACGUGUAGCGGUGAAAUGCGUUGAUAUGUGUCGGAACACCAAUGGCGAAAGCAGCUUCCUGGACAAGUACUGACGCUCAGGCACGAAAGCCAAGGUAGCAAACAG
rnacentral:rRNA from 1 species